rnacentral:rRNA from 1 species
UAACAACGGAGAGUUUGAUCCUGGCUCAGGANNAACGCUAGCGGCGGGCUUAAUACAUGCAAGUCGAGGGGCAGCAUUGGUGCUUGCAUCAGAUGGCGACCGGCGAACGGGUGCGUAACGCGUAUGCAACUUGCCUAUAACAGAGGGAUAGCCCAGGGAAACUUGGAUUAAUAUCUCAUAAUAUUAUUGANAGGCAUCUUUUAAUAAUUAAAGCUUCGGUGGUUAUAGAUGGGCAUGCGUCCCAUUAGCUAGUUGGURAGGUAAYGGCUUACCAAGGCAAUGAUGGGUAGGGGUUCUGAGAGGAUGAUCCCCNACACUGGCACUGAGAUACGGGCNNGNCUCCUACGGGAGGCAGCAGUAAGGAAUAUUGGUCAAUGGAGGCAACUCUGAACCAGCCACGCCGCGUGCAGGAAGAAGGUCCUCAGGAUUGUAAACUNCUUUUAUAUAGGAAGAAAUGCCCUNAUGCGUUAGGGAGUUGACGGUACUAUACGAAUAAGCACCGGCUAACUACGUGCCAGCAGCCNCGNNNAUACGUAGGGUGCNAGCGUUAUCCGGAAUCACUGGGUUUAAAGGGUGUGUAGGCGGUUUUAUAAGUCUGUGGUGAAAUGCUGUUGCCUAACAAUAGCACUGCCAUGGAUACUGUAGAACUUGAAUACUGUAGAGGAAUGUGGAAUUCGUGGUGUAGCGGUGAAAUGCAUAGAUACCACGAGGAAUAUCGAUUGCGAAGGCAACAUUCUGGGCAGUUAUUGACGCUGAUGCACNNAAGCGUGGGGAGCGAACAGGAUUAGAUACCCUGGUAGUCCACGCCGUAAACUAUGGAUACUCGGUGCAUGCCUAUUAUAGGGGUGUGUGCCUUAGCGAAAGCGUUAAGUAUCCCACCUGGGGAGUACGUCGGCAACGAUGAAACUCAAAGGAAUUGACGGGGNUCNGCACAAGCGGUGGAGUAUGUGGUUUAAUUCGAUGAUACGCGAGGAACCUUACCUAGACUAAAUGUGAACGACGGAUACAGAGAUGUAUCUUUCUUCGGACGUGAAACAAGGUGCUGCAUGGUUGUCGUCAGCUCGUGCCGUGAGGUGUUGGGUUAAGUCCUNCAACGAGCGCAACCCCUAUUCUUAGUUGCCAUCANGUUAAGCUGGGGNCUCUAGGAAGACUGCCUACGCAAGUAGUGAGGAAGGNGGGGACGACGUNNAAUCAUCAUGGCCCUUACGUCUAGGGCUACACACGUACUACAAUGGUCGGUACAAUGAGCAGCGAGCUAGUAAUAGUCAGCAAAUCUCAAAAAGCCGAUCUCAGUUCGGAUUGUGGUCUGCAACUCGACCACAUGAAGUUGGAAUCGCUAGUAAUCGUGCAUCAGCNAUGGCACGGUGAAUACGUUCCCGGACCUUGUACACACCGCCCGUCAAGCCAUGGAAGUUGGGGGUGCCUGAAGAUGGUGACCAUCAAGGAGCUGUUAAAGGCAAAACCGAUAACUAGGGC